rnacentral:misc_RNA from 1 species
GUGAGUCAUCGAAUCUUUGAACGCACAUUGCACUGUCUGGAACUCCGGGCAGUAUACCUGUUUGAGCAUCAGUAACUACUCUCCUACCCUUCUUUAUUGAGGGGUUGCGAGGACAUGAGUAUCCAUCGUCCCAUUAGGGAUGGUGCUACUUUAAAUGUAGUGGCUAGGAAGCUUUAGAGCUUUACUACUAGCGCAGAGUCAAUAGGCCUUGUGCCUGUCACUGUGUCUAGCUACAGUAAUGUUUCUAUAGCGACUCCGAGCCUUAAACAACACUACAGCAGCCUUGUGCUUCUGUGACUU